rnacentral:lncRNA from 1 species
AGAGUUGCAUACUCUUUAUACUAUGAGCAUGUUUGGCAAAACUUUUACUAGAUUAUAAGAUGUGCUAUGAAAUUGUGGAUAAUGAGUGGGUAUAAGUUGCGAGUUCCAAGGAAAGUGGGGAUAAAAAUAGAUCUUGGCUAACUUGUAAGCAAAUUUAAGCUUUGCCAAACAUGUGCUCUGUUGCAUUAUUUUUGUUUCAUUAAAAAGCAUGUUGGGAGUUAGUAUAAUCAUUUCAAAUAGAUAGAUGGUGGGUAAGUGGGUAGUAUUUGUGGGUCCAACAGUAUGUUUGGAUACAAAGAUGUUUGAUCAAUUAUAAACAAACUAUAAACAGCUGCCAAACAUAUGCUUUGUUUACUUUUUGAUAAGUCAAUAAAUUAUUGAUAAGAAAAAUGCAUUACACAAUAUCCAAACGAUAUAUAAAGUUUCUCUGACAAAACCAUCCAGAUUGUCUUAUGGCCUCUCUGGCUGUGGACCAAACAACGUUCACCUAAUAAUAAUUUAUCGCUCAAUGUGUAUGCAUUGAUAGUGUGUUGCAUAAUUACAAGUCUACAUCACUGGAAAAUCAGUCAAUAUUGAUACCUCUUAAAAUUCAUUCAGAUGAUUUGACUCGCUUAAUUUCAGCAUAUUUGAUUAGCAGGUCUCUUCAACGACACAAUCACAAAUUUCUAUACCCUAAAAGACUUGGGAUUGAAAUUUUUAUCGUUAUGUAAAAUGAUAGAAGUAAUACCACACCACACAUGCAUCACAUUUAAUUAGCUUACGUUUCAAAUCAAAUAGAAAACAGUUUUUUAUUUGCCUGUUUAGCGUUGGUCACUAGGUCUCAAUGGGAAAAUUUUUCCCUACAUAUCGACUCUGAUUAGCUUGUCAAUCAGAAGAUAAUACAUGGCAAACUAAAACACUUACAAUACUGGUCCAGAUACACAAUUUGCAUAUCUAUUUAGGAUACUACUAUUUUUUCCAAAUCUGGUGAUGGCUGUUGGGAGGUAAUAUUGUCUAUCAGCUGAUGUUGCUAUUCUCCAGUUGUUUAUUAGCUUAGUAAUUAUUUAAAGUAGCCUCAUGAUAUUAAUCCACAUGCUUUUCAUUUGUGUAACUUGUUCUCACUUUCAAUGUCUAUCCUUCUCAUUCUUUCUAGUGCUCAAUGAGAAAUGAUUGGAUUUUGUUUUUGCAGGUUGGAUUUGUGACGGCUAUAUGCUUCACUUGUUUUCUUAUAAGAUGCUUUGUGGUAUGUGGUUUGAAAUGCCUCUCACUUGGUUAUUUGACGUAGUAGAAGUGCUUGCUCUGUUGAAAGAAUCUGAUUUUUCUUGUCUUUAUGGAUGCUCGCAUUGGUCUCACUAACAAACUCAGUGUUUCUGCAUGUGAAGAAGAGCCCGCUAACAGAUAUUCUUUCUGAAACCAAAGUUUGCAAAAAUAGCACUCAUGACUUGGUGGUGGUUUAAUUGUUGUGUUUUUUUUUAUCUUCCAGGGGGAGUAGUCCAAUAAGUUAAAAGAGUGCCCAAUGAAAAUCUCUCUCGGAAAUCUUUAAAAUAUUCUGGCAACAGUACUUGUUUCAGACUUUCAGGCAUACUUAACUUCCCAUCAUUUCUUUAAUUAUCCGUGGGAAGCAUCCCACAGUUUUUGCUUAUUAUUGAUUUAUCCCCAUAUAACACGCAUUGUUCUGUCGCUAUUUCCGAGUGUCCUAAUUAUUUAUUGACUGCACAUAGAAUUAACAUGUGUCAAAUUUUAAUAACAAACAUUUUUAUUUUUAUUUUUGGGUGGAGAUUGUCCAUUAUCUACUUGUACAUCUAGGGUUCAAUUUGUAUCAUGGCUACUAUAGAACUUGAACAAUUUUGGCAAUGAAAAAAAUUGAUUCAUAGGGAGAAAACGAGGCAAAUUUUGAUUAAGAAAUUUAUUAGAAAAAUUAAGAACAAAACAAAUAGCACACAUCCAGAAGCCAUAUUGAGUGCUUUCUGGCAUGUUUUUUUCUCACUUUUGACUGCCUGGAGCUUCUUAGGAUUUUGGCACUAGGCAGAGUUCAGUAUACCAAGCUAAAUACAACUAUGCAUGAGAUGAUGUUUAUUAUUUAUUGAAUUUAUUGGAGUACAGCGUAAAUGUUGCUUUGUGAGGUGUAGGACGUGGGAGUUUAGUGUAUAUUUUCUUAAUUACAAGGGAAUUGCGAGGGAAAGGAUUUGUAGGCCAAUAUGUACCGAUUUCUUCACCUGACAUAAGUCCGCAAACGUGGUUGCUGUCAUUUUAAGUUCUUUACUCAGAAUUCUCAUGCAUUAGUCUUGUGUGAAUAAAUUUCCCAGACAUCUACAGACGUGGAAAAGCAUAAAGCAAUCCUAAGUUGGAAAAUUGGAUUUACUUUUUAGAAUUCUGUAGCAUAUCUUAGCCUGUGCUUGGCUCAUUUUUAUAAACAUUUAAACUACUUUUUAUCCACACAUUUUGUGGGAUCCACAAGUAUUGUCCCAUUUAUCCACAACUCAUUUUUGUCUAUUUAUAACCAAAACUGUUUAUAAACUUUUUCCAAACAUGCUUUUAGUUUCCUGUGUGAUAUACUUCUCUUUGUACUACAUUCUUAGAUGCACUCUUUAUUGAUUUUAUGAAGCCUAUAUUUUGCAACAUUCUGCAGGUUGGGCUAUCUGCUUUCGACGCAGAUGCAUCUCUUGAAGUAUUGGACCAUCCAAUUUUGAAUCUCAUCUAUUACAUGGUAAACUGCUUUUAUCAAGUUUGCCAACCUUUUCUUCCCUAGUUUUGUGUUCACACACAGCUUAUGCAAAAACAGCUGGUCGAGAUUCUUCCUUCAGCACUUGUGUUGUUCAUACUGCGCAAGCUACCUCCCAAAAGAGUAUCAGCUCAAUACCAUCCCAUCCGCUAGCCAUGGAUCGUUUUUGUUGGCAGUGGUAUUGAGUUGGGUUCCCAAGGUUCCAGUUUAGAGAUUAGUGACCUUGAAGCGAUUGAAGUGGAGCCUGGAAUCCAGAUGUCUUAUUUUUCUGGAGUGGCUUGUCCUCAGAAGUUCUUUUUACCUGUAUGUAUAUGGAGCUCAAGCUGAGAGAGAUUCAGUUCUUGUUUUGAUUUUGUGGGUUGGAAAAAGUUCACAAUUUGCCAGCAUUUUAUGGAAGUUAGCACGUGAUGAAAUUAUUCAUCAUUGUAAUGUGGAGAUUUUGUUAGAUUGGAACUUUUUGAGUACUUGGUCGUUUAUAAAUAAUAUCCACCACCUGCAAGGUGAUUAGGUGGGUUGAAGUACAACCCAUUUGUUGUAAAGCUUUACGGUGCUUGGGGCCUCGGGAAAUAGUUACAUCAGCUCAAGUGAAAUUGUAUAGAUUCCUAUCAAUCCCAAGCCUGGGUCACAUCCAGGAUCACUGUAAUUUUGCGUUCCACUAGGGAAUUGUAAGCUAUAAUUUGGCAUGGCCAGAUGGUGUGAUGGCGGUAUGUCCACAUAUCUGAUCAAUUCUGCCGAAUAUCAAUCUCACUCCAACGUCCGCCUUAUGCAGAACUAACGUUUUUU